GUCAUAAAUGGCUAUCACUUCAGUAUUUUUGUUGUAAAAGGAAUAACUGUGUUUUACUCAAGAAGUACGAUGAAGAAUCUGAUGCUGAUUGUCUUUAUGCUGUUUUCAACAAUAGAUAGUGUGUAUUCUGAUCAUACUGCGAAUUGUGCUUGUCCAGCGCAUCACGACCCAGUUUGUUCCACAACUGGUCAUACUUUCAGUAAUUUAUGUGAUCUCAGUUGCAACCAUGGUAUUUUAGCUUGUCACCGUGAAUGUCCAUGUUAUUCUUAACAACAUUGAGAUGACAGAAUCACGAAUUGGACAGAAGUGAGUUUGACUUAUUCCCGAAUGUGACUGUUUUUCUGAGUGUUAAUUUGUAUUGCUUGAAGACGUGGCACGGUACUUAUCCAUCCAAAACUAAUUUAUUGGGUUUUGAUGUUGUGUUUGCUGUUGCCAUCAGAUUUUUUCAAAUGUUUUAACGUUUGUAGUUGUAAAUCGUAUUUUUUCUGUUGUAUUAUUGUGUUGUAU